CAUGCAAGUCGAACGAUGAAGUCUAGCUUGCUAGACGGAUUAGUGGCGAACGGGUGAGUAAUGCUUAGGAAUCUGCCUAUUAGUGGGGGAUAACGUAGGGAAACUUACGCUAAUACCGCAUACGACCUACGGGUGAAAGGGGGCUUUUAGCUCUCGCUAAUAGAUGAGCCUAAGUCGGAUUAGCUAGUUGGUGGGGUAAAGGCCUACCAAGGCGACGAUCUGUAGCUGGUCUGAGAGGAUGAUCAGCCACACUGGGACUGAGACACGGCCCAGACUCCUACGGGAGGCAGCAGUGGGGAAUAUUGGACAAUGGGCGAAAGCCUGAUCCAGCCAUGCCGCGUGUGUGAAGAAGGCCUUUUGGUUGUAAAGCACUUUAAGUGGGGAGGAAAAGCUUAUGGUUAAUACCCAUAAGCCCUGACGUUACCCACAGAAUAAGCACCGGCUAA
rnacentral:rRNA from 1 species